CUAGCAUAUCAAUAAGCGGAGGAAAAGAAACCAACAGGGAUUGCCCUAGUAACGGCGAGUGAAGCGGCAACAGCUCAAAUUUGAAAUCUGGCCUUUGGCCCGAGUUGUAAUUUGUAGAGGAUGCUUUUGGUGCGGUGCCUUCCGAGUUCCCUGGAACGGGACGCCUUAGAGGGUGAGAGCCCCGUACGGUUGGACGCCUAGCCUCUGUAAAGCUCCUUCGACGAGUCGAGUAGUUUGGGAAUGCUGCUCAAAAUGGGAGGUAAAUUUCUUCUAAAGCUAAAUACCGGCCAGAGACCGAUAGCGCACAAGUAGAGUGAUCGAAAGAUGAAAAGCACUUUGAAAAGAGGGUUAAAUAGCACGUGAAAUUGUUGAAAGGGAAGCGUUUAUGACCAGACUUUUUCCUAGCGGAUCAUCCGGUGUUCUCACCGGUGCACUUCGCUAGGUUUAGGCCAGCAUCGGUUUCUGUAGGGGGAUAAAAGUUUCGGGAAUGUGGCUCUUCGGAGUGUUAUAGCCCGUUGCAUAAUACCUUUAUGGGGACCGAGGUUCGCGCUCUGCAAGGAUGCUGGCGUAAUGGUCAUCAACGACCCGUCUUGAAACACGGACCAAGGAGUCGAACAUUUGUGCGAGUGUUUGGGUGUUAAACCCUCACGCGUAAUGAAAGUGAACGGAGGUGAGAGCCGCAAGGUGCAUCAUCGACCGAUCCUGAUGUCUUCGGAUGGAUUUGAGUAAGAGCAUAACUGUUCGGACCCGAAAGAUGGUGAACUAUGCGUGGAUAGGGUGAAGCCAGAGGAAACUCUGGUGGAGGCUCGCAGCGGUUCUGACGUGCAAAUCGAUCGUCAAAUCUGCGCAUGGGGGCGAAAGACUAAUCGAACC
rnacentral:rRNA from 1 species